rnacentral:rRNA from 1 species
GAUGAACGCUGGCGGCGUGCCUAAUACAUGCAAGUCGAGCGAACAGACGAGGAGCUUGCUCCUCUGACGUUAGCGGCGGACGGGUGAGUAACACGUGGAUAACCUACCUAUAAGACUGGGAUAACUUCGGGAAACCGGAGCUAAUACCGGAUAAUAUAUUGAACCGCAUGGUUCAAUAGUGAAAGACGGUUUUGCUGUCACUUAUAGAUGGAUCCGCGCCGCAUUAGCUAGUUGGUAAGGUAACGGCUUACCAAGGCAACGAUGCGUAGCCGACCUGAGAGGGUGAUCGGCCACACUGGAACUGAGACACGGUCCAGACUCCUACGGGAGGCAGCAGUAGGGAAUCUUCCACAAUGGGCGAAAGCUUGACGGAGCAACGCCGCGUGAGUGAUGAAGGUCUUCGGAUCGUAAAACUCUGUUAUUAGGGAAGAACAAAUGUGUAAGUAACUAUGCACGUCUUGACGGUACCUAAUCAGAAAGCCAGGGCUAACUACGUG